GAAUGUAUGGGGGAAAAGGCUGCUGCCUAAAAUGCAGGCGCUGCUUUUAAUAAUUACACAUUUGAAAAUGAUCCUAAUAAGCUUCCCAGUCUUGGUCUCACUGUCCUGCUGUUCCUUAGGCAUGCAUGUCUGAAAGCAACCUGGAUAUGAUUUGUCCAUUCUGAACCAUUCCCAGUUGCUUGUAUGAAGACCAAGAAUAAUCAUCCCACGUAGCGUCAUCUAAGGAUUCAAUCAAGUAAGCCUUCUGGGAAAGAGAAAACCUCAAUUCUGAGUUAUUGUUUAAUCUACCAUUGUGGGAAGCAAUUUUUAAAGUUGUUUUUUAUUAUUUUUAAAGAUGACAGCACCGUAUACGCACUCCUCAGUAACCUUAUUGAUUAUCUUUGUUCAUGUUUGAAAGCAAAAAAGUGAUGUAUUCUGCCAGUCCCUGUGAACACCUUGGGUUUUUGAAGUGUGUAUGGAAGGCAAUGCCUUCUUUGGUGAACUAGAAUUUGUUCCUGGUUCUUGAACUCUUUGCUUUACAGUUUUCUCUGUUUUGUGUUUACAAGAUCCAUGAAGAUAACCCUGUUGGUUCCCAGUGCUCUUGCAGCACUUUGCAGCCCAGUAGGUGAUUGGUACAAGUGAGGAAGAAGACUUUAGGGUCUUGGCUUUGGUCUUCUUUUAUUGCACCAGAGAGUAUGGGAAAAAAAGCAAAACAAAAAUCAUAUCAUCAUGAGAUAGAAUGGCCUGGGUUGAAAAGUACCACAAUGAUCAUUGAGUUUCAACCCCCCUGCUAUGUGCAGGGUCGCCAACCACCAGACCAGGCUGCCCAGAGCCACAUCCAGCCUGGCCUUGAAUGCCUCCAGGGAUGGGGCAUCCACAGCCUCCUUGGGCAACCUGUUCCAGUGUGUCAUUACCCUCUGAGUGAAAAACUUCCCCCUAACAUCUAACCUAAACCUCCCCUGUAUAAUACAUAAAUAACAUACAAAUAACACCACCUCCCACCUUUCUCUCAAAAACAACAAAUACACCACAAAAACAUAACCCACCCCAGUACUUUUCAAAGUAAAGAACUUCCUUGUUUCCACAGUGAGUAAGCUAGACCAUUUUUGCACAGUGUAUGUAUGGGAACUGUUAAAUUAUGGUCUGAACCUCUAAUUGACCACCUGAGGUGAGCAGUGAGUCAGCCAUGGCAGCACAGGUGAAGGCAAUUGAGCUGUGUGACCACAAGGGGUGGAGCCAGGCUGCACCUCUCCUACACCCCAUUUAAGGGCUGACUGCCACUAAGGAAGGCUCUCUUUCUGGAGAUUGCUCCCUUUGGAGUUCUUCUGUGAGCCUAUGACACAGGUGCAGAUCAGCUAAGUGCGUUCUUCAAGCCAAGCCUUUAUAUGCAGGUACAAUUUUACUCCCAGGUAUGAUUUCAUCAUUAAUUCUCAAGAUUUAUGGCAUAACUUCUUACCUGUAACACAAAUUCUGGGGUCUUAGACUGACCAGUAAGUUACACUUAUUUACAAGAAUGCUGUAUUCAUUAUUGCCUAAUGUUUUCUUUCAUGAACAUACCAGGCCUGUGCUGGGCUGACAUAAGCCAGCAGCUAAGCACUCACCAGCUUCCAGCUCCCUGCCCCAACAGGACAGGGGACAAAGUCUUUAAAACAAAAAGUAGAAAAUCCCUGCAGGUCAAAUUAAAACAGUUAAAUAGGUGAAGGAGAAAGUGUGUGUGUGUGUGUGUGUGUUUGGAAUGUGGCUUUGGGAAGCUUAGAUCGGCAUUCCUGGCCAUGUCUCUUCCCCAACCCUGCAUUGUGUACACUGAUACUGUGACAUUGAUACUGUGGGCAAGAAGCACUCAACCAAUGUAUCUGGUUUUGCUAAUGCUGAGGAGGAGCAGACCUUAAAUCAGCUGCUGGUGGAAAUGGAUGGAACAGGGACCACAGAUCAUGUCGUAGUGCGGCUUCCACCAACUGUGCUGAUGUUUUGCAUAAUGCCUUGAUGAGACCUGGCAGGCUUGACAGACACACCUUUAUUGAUCUUUAUGGGGAGUUGUGGGGUGAGCAGGAGAGGCGGCCCUGAAGCUGUGCAUGCCCUACUCAGCAACAGAUAAAACACCAGGGCAAUAC